rnacentral:lncRNA from 1 species
CUAAGUGUGUUUCUCUUUGGCUUUGUAGUUAGCUGUUCUAACAAGGUGUGAUUAUGUUGUUCUCUCUUUAUAGAGUCUUGUUUAUCUUCACUCUUUCUCUUGACAGACCAGUAGGGGACUGUAAUGGUUAUGGCAACCAACUUGCAACACUACAGAAAGAGUGCAUUUCCUCCAAUUCUGAGUACUUACCUGCCGCUUCGUUGCAGGAAUCAGAAUAACCACAAGCGAAGGAAGACUGUCAAAGAUGACAAAGGGAAGAAGAGAAACAACAACUCAGCAUUUAGUGAGGAAGGUAAAGAAGGUAUGAUGAAACAAGCCCUGCUGGACCAGUACCACCUUGAAAUGUGUAAGGAUCUCUACAGACAAAGAAAUGCCACGUAUGUGCAUUACCGAGACUUGCUGAAUAAGAAAGUUCAAAAGCAGCGAAUUCAGAUUCAAAUGUCUGAUUGUAGGCUCAAGCAAAAUCUUGAACAGCAAAGAAGAAGAAAGAGCUCAGCCAAUGUGUCAGAAUCAAUGUGCUGCCAACCUCUACCUCAUCAUCCAAGUAAACACAUGAAGUCCCAAAAAGAAACUGAGCAAAUAUUUCCUAAGCUGCAGUUUUCUAGGCUCUCUGAAUUGCAAAAAAGACCCGAAGAGUUGCUCCAAACUCAGGAGGAGUACAGAAUUUCUAAGAGGAGUAAGAAAUAUUUCGAACAUAAAAAGCGUCUUUUUUACUUGCAUCAUAUCUAUCAUCUUGCCUUUCUUAAUAUGGCGUCAUCCAAGAGACGGCUAGAGCAAAACAACCAGUUUGCAGAUGUUGAAAAUGAGUGCAGUGUCCAUGAUCUGAUGAUUUACUUAUUUCCAAGUGAACAUAAAUCACCAUGUGCCACUAAGAGAGAGACGGAGGGAAAUGUAUUUCCAGGCUUGGCAGGAAGGAAACAGCAGGAACAGCAUUGCAAGAGAUCCUCUAAAGCACGCACGCUUUUCAAAGAAAUGAGAAAUGAAGAUAACGGAGCCAUUGAAAUUCCAGAGGAUUGGAAAUCGAGUGUCAGUGAUUUAGCCCUACAUGAAAUGACCACUGUGCCUCUAACCCUUGAAGAUGUGGCUCUGAAACAUCCAGUGCUGGAAGCUAAAUCAGUCAUUACUUAUUGGACUAAUUAUGCAGAUGAAGAAGAAGAAAUUCCCUAAAGUGGAAUAGAACAACUGAAAUGUAGAAGCUUACAGUAGAAAUUGCCUUUCUUUAAUUUCUCAAAAAGUUGCAGCAGUUAUAGACUAUAUAUAUACACACACACACACACACACACACAGGAAAGUCAGUGUAUUAAUGAUCACCCUGGCCCCAUAUGAAGAAAAGAAUUUUACUACUUACUAAUCAGGCUUGUAUUUGAAUGUAAAACUAACAUUAACAUUUCAAAACGCAAUAAAUAGAUCUUUUUCUCUGAAAAUUGUCCUUCU